rnacentral:snoRNA from 1 species
GGGUCCCUGUGAUGUCUAGCACUGGGCUCUGACCACACCUUGAGGACUUGGUGCUCCCCCAGGACCUUUGACACCUGGGGGUCUGAGGGACCC